CACCGCCCGUCACACCAUGGGAGUCGUUUGCUCCAAAAAGUGCCUGCGCCAACUCGCAAGAGAGGCAGGGCCCCAAGGAGUGCACGGUAACUGGGGUG
rnacentral:rRNA from 1 species